AAGUCGUAACAAGGUUUCUGUAGGUGAACCUGCAGAAGGAUCAUUAGUGAAGAUUUGGGCAGGCCAUACGGACGCCAAAAAAGUGUCCCUGGCCGCCUACACCCACUAUAUACAUCCACAAACCCGUGUGCACUGUCUUGGAGAAAGGCUUCUUGAGAAGUUUUGUGGCCUCUCUUGGGGUCUUUCUUCGCUACAAACUCGAAUGGUUAGUAUGAACGUGGAACUUGGUUGGACCGUCACUGGCCAACAAACUAUACACAACUUUCGACAACGGAUCUCUUGGUUCUCC
rnacentral:misc_RNA from 1 species